rnacentral:rRNA from 1 species
UGGCGAACGGGUGAGUAACGCGUGAGGAACCUGCCUCAAAGAGGGGGACAACAGUUGGAAACGACUGCUAAUACCGCAUAAGCCCACGGGUCGGCAUCGACCUGAGGGAAAAGGAGCAAUCCGCUUUGAGAUGGCCUCGCGUCCGAUUAGCUAGUUGGUGAGGUAACGGCCCACCAAGGCGACGAUCGGUAGCCGGACUGAGAGGUGAACGGCCACAUUGGGACUGAGACACGGCCCAG